AUUGAACGCUGGCGGCAGGCCUAACACAUGCAAGUCGAGCGGAGCGUCGUAAGGGUGAGUAAUGCCUAGUAAUCUGCCUGGUAGUGGGGGAUAACGUCCGGAAACGGGCGCUAAUACCGCAUACUAUCAGAUUAGACUAGGGGGGAUGAGCGAGAUGGUGGGGUAAAGGCCUACCAAGGCGAGGAUCCGUAACUGGUCUGAGAGGAUGAUCAGUCACACGGGAACGUAGACACGGUCCAGACGCCGACGGGAGGCAGCAGUGGGGAAGAUGGGACAAUGGGCGAAAGCCUGAUACAGCCAGGCCGCGUGUGUGAAGAAGGUCGUCGGAUUGUAAAGCACUUUAAGUUGGGAGGCGUUACCAACAGAAUAAGCACCGGCUAACGUCGUGCCAGCAGCCGCGGUAAUAC
rnacentral:rRNA from 1 species